UACGUAGGGUGCGAGCGUUGCCCGGAUUCAUUGGGCGUAAAGCGCGCGCAGGCGGCUCCGCACGUCCCGCGUGAAAUCGCCCGGCUCAACCGGGCGGGGGUCGCGGGCGACGGCGGGGCUCGAGCGAGGGGAGGGGGGCAGUGGAAUUCCCGGUGUAGUGGUGGAAUGCGUAGAUAUCGGGAGGAACACCAGUGGCGAAGGCGGCUGCCUGGACCUC
rnacentral:rRNA from 1 species